rnacentral:rRNA from 1 species
AGCAGCCGCGGUAAUUCCAGCUCCAAUAGCGUAUAUUAAAGUUGUUGCAGUUAAAAAGCUCGUAGUCGAAUUUCGGGACCAAUCUGCCGGUCGUGCCUCCGGUAUGCACUGGUUUUAUUGGUUUCUCCCUUCUGACGAAUCAUGAUGUCAUUAAUUUGGUGUCAUGGGGAAUCAGGACUGUUACUUUGAAAAAAUUAGAGUGUUUAAAGCAGGCUCACGCUUGAAUACAUUAGCAUGGAAUAAUGAAAUAGGACGUUUGACCCUAUUUUGUUGGUUUCUAGGAUCGACGUAAUGAUUAAUAGGGAUAGUUGGGGGCAUUAGUAUUCAAUUGUCAGAGGUGAAAUUCUUGGAUUUAUUGAAGACUAACUACUGCGAAAGCAUUUGCCAAGGAUGUUUUCAUUAAUCAAGAACGAAAGUUAGGGGAUCGAAGACGAUCAGAUACCGUCGUAGUCUUAACCAUAAACUAUGCCGACUAGGGAUCGGAUGAUGUUAAUUUUUUAAUGACUCAUUCGGCGCCUUA